rnacentral:rRNA from 1 species
GCCAGACUCCUACGGGAGGCAGCAGUGGGGAAUAUUGCACAAUGGGGGAAACCCUGAUGCAGCGACGCCGCGUGAGUGAAGAAGUAUCUCGGUACGUAAAGCUCUCUCAGCAGGGAAGAAAAUGACGGUACCUGACUAAGAAGCCCCGGCUAACUACGUGCCAGCAGCCGCGGUAAUACGUAGGGGGCAAGCGUUAUCCGGAUUUACUGGGUGUAAAGGGAGCGUAGACGGCAGCACAAGUCUGGAGUGAAAUCCCGGGGCUUAACUUGUAGACUGCAGUUGAAACUGGUUUUCUUGGGUGAAGUAGAGGUUGGCGGAAUUCCGAGUGUAGCGGUGAAAUGCGUAGAUAUUCGGAGGAACACCGGUGGCGAAGGCGGCCAACUGGGCUUUAACUGACGCUGAGGCUCGAAAGUGUGGGGAGCAAACAGGAUUAGAUACCCUAGUA